AGGUGGGCGCGGUUCAUGUCUCUCUCUCUUUCUACUUGGAAAUGGGGAGCGGGACUGGAGCUGCAAGGAGCGCCCACGUUCAUUUUCUCCAGGAAGACCUAAGAGAAGAAAGAAAAACACACACACACACACAGAGCAAAAGAAGAUUGAGAAGAGUCGGGAAAUAACAAGGAACUUAUCCGCCCUGAAAAAAAGAAAAAACAAACUUUUUUUUUUUUUCUUUAUCUUCUUCUUAUUUUCCUGGGCAGGGAUUUUUUUUUUUUCACGUGUGUGUGUACCAGCAGCAAACACGGCAGCAGUGACUGACCCAGCCACCACCAUAAACCGUAAACCGUUGCCACCCAUUCACUAAUAGCGUUUUAGAAGCGCGGGGACACAAGAAGAGACGCACACUUGGAAUGAAGACGGAGAGGAAAUGAAAACUCGGCUGACGUAAUCUUCAAGUCAUCAUUUCGGCUCCUUCUUCUGUGUGCAAUGGCUCAUCAAAUCGUUAAGGAAGAAAAGAAAAUUGAAAUAAGUGGAGGAUAGCACGAGAUAAAUACUCUGCUUCUCUUUUCCAUCUUCAUCUCGUCUGUUAUGUUCUUGCGUGUUGUUCGUUUGGUUGUUGUUGUUGCUUUGAUUCUUUUUUGUGGCUGCUGUCGGUUCUUGUUGUGCUACGUGACGACCCGCCUCGAGGGCGUGCAUCGAAACGGCCACAUAGCUGUGAUGAUCUUAAACCAUCGAACGCGCUUGAUUGAAUCGCCCCCGUCUACGUGCCGUAUUUCAUUUGUUCAGUCAAACGAUAAAACGAAAGGAAAUGGGUAAAUUGAGGAUAGAAGAAAUACACUAGACGUAUAUCCAAUCACGGCAGUUGUUUUACACACGAAAUAUAUACAGUUAAUAUAAAUAUAAAUAUAUUUUUUUCAAUCAAACUAACCUUUCCUUUCGUGUUGGCUCCUCUGUAUGAUAUAAACUUUGGUUUUAUAACAUGGCCUUUUUAAAAGAA